GACGAACGCUGGCGGCAUGCCUAACACAUGCAAGUCGAACGAAAAGUUCGGGCCUUUGGGCGCACGUCUGCGUAAGGCGUGGGGAGCGGCACUUGGGUUCGGAAUACCUCCCCGAAAGGGAUGCUAAUGCCAGAUAGGGUCUUAGGACCAAAGAUUUAUUGCAUCGGGAUGGGCCCUCGUUGGAUUAGCUAGUUGGGAGGGUAAAAGCAUACCAAGGGGACGAUCCAUAGCUGGUCUGAGAGGAUGGUCAGCGACACUGGGAGUGAGACACGGCCCAGACUCCUACGGGAGGGAGGAGUGGGGAAUAUAGGACAAUGGGCGAAAGGCUGAUCAAGCAAUGCCGCGUGAGGGAUGAAGGCCGGAGGGUUGUAAAGCUCUUGUACCCGGGAUGAUAAUGACAGUACCGGGAGAAUAAGCUCCGGCUAACUCCGUG
rnacentral:rRNA from 1 species